rnacentral:rRNA from 1 species
GGGUAGAGUAAUGCGUGACCAACCUGCCCAUGCUCCAGAAUAGCUCUUGGAAACGGGUGGUAAUGCUGGAUGCUCCAACUUGACGCAUGUCUUGUUGGGAAAGUGUUUAGUGGCAUGGGAUGGGGUCGCGUCCUAUCAGCUUGUAGGCGGGGUAAUGGCCCACCUAGGCUUCGACGGGUAGCCGGCCUGAGAGGGCGGACGGCCACAUUGGGACUGAGAUACGGCCCAGACUCCUACGGGAGGCAGCAGCC